UACGUAGGGAGCAAGCGUUGUCCGGAAUCAUUGGGCGUAAAGCGCGCGUAGGUGGCCCCAUAAGUCCGCUGUGAAAGUCAAAGGCUCAACCUUUGAAAGCCGGUGGAUACUGUGGGACUAGAGUACGGAAGAGGCGAGUGGAAUCCUGGUGUAGCGGUGGAAUGCGCAGAUAUCAGGAGGAACACCAAUAGCGAAGGCAGCUCGCUGGGACGUUACUGACACUGAGACGCGAAAGCGUGGGGAGCAAACAGG
rnacentral:rRNA from 1 species